rnacentral:rRNA from 1 species
UACGUAGGGGCCUAGCGUUGUCCGGAUUUAUUGGGCGUAAAGGGCGCGUAGGCGACGCAACAAGUCACUUGUGAAAUCUCCGGGCUUAACCCGGAGCGGCCAAGUGAUACUGUCGUGCUAGAGUGCGGAAGGGGCUACUGGAAUUCUCGGUGUAGCGGUGAAAUGCGUAGAUAUCGAGAGGAACACCUGCGGCGAAGGCGGGUAGCUGGGCCGACACUGACGCUGAGGCGCGAAAGCCAGGGGAGCGAACGGG